AACUAGCAUGAUGGAGGGGGAUAACUACUGGAAACGGUAGCUAAUACCGCAUAACGUCGCAAGACCAAAGAGGGGGACCUUCGGGCCUCUUGCCAUCAGAUGUGCCCAGAUGGGAUUAGCUAGUAGGUGGGGUAACGGCUCACCUAGGCGACGAUCCCUAGCUGGUCUGAGAGGAUGACCAGCCACACUGGAACUGAGACACGGUCCAG
rnacentral:rRNA from 1 species